UGGGGAAUAUUGCACAAUGGGCGCAAGCCUGAUGCAGCCAUGCCGCGUGUGUGAAGAAGGCCUUCGGGUUGUAAAGCACUUUCAGCGGGGAGGAAGGCGUUAAGGUUAAUAACCUUGGCGAUUGACGUUACCCGCAGAAGAAGCACCGGCUAACUCCGUGCCAGCAGCCGCGGUAAUACGGAGGGUGCAAGCGUUAAUCGGAAGUACUGGGCGUAAAGCGCACGCAGGCGGUCUGUCAAAUCGGAUGUGAAAUCCCCGGGCUCAACCUGGGAACAGCAUUCAAAACUGGCAGGCUAGAGUAUUGUAGAGGGCGGUAGAAGUCCAGGUGUAGCGGUGAAAUGCGUAGAGAGCUGGAAGAAUACCGGUGGCAAAGGCGGCCCCCUGGACAAAGACUGACGCUCAGGUGCGAAAGCGUGGGGAGCAAACAGG
rnacentral:rRNA from 1 species